AGACGAUGCAACUCCGACUCUGUUUGGGCCUGGAAAUUCACAAUCAGAACCUAGUCUUCAGUACCAGAUCAGGGGCAGAAAUUUUCCCAGACUUCAGUGGAUCACAGUUGCUGUAAUAAGCGAACAUGACAAUGCCACAGGUUGCUGCACUGCCCACAAUGAAGCACAGACCCACUUGGUUCACAAACAGCGCCCUGCAAUCAAAAGCAAACAUCAUUAUAGUGACCCAGGUUUGCUGCUGGCUCUCUGCAUUUCCACUAUUAAUAUCAAUUACCAGGAGAUGUAGCGCUGGACUUGAGCUUGGUUCACCCCGUACAUGGACAGCCAAACAAGUGCACCCCCGACAGAUAGGCUCCAGAAUGAAUAGCGCCGCCGAGGGUCAAAGUCAAAACUUGGGGGGGAAAUUGAAAAAAACAAUUUCAAACAAAUCGGGAGAAUCCAUUCUUUAGAGCCUCUUGCCAUUAUAACACCUGGAGUUUACAUUAGAGGGUGACACGGUAGUGGAUUUUUACUCCAGUAGCAUCCCACUGCUGCAAAAAUAUUCCCCAUCCCCAUUGAGUAAAAAAGAAACGAUGUCCUGUCUCUAUCCCGGAAGAAUGAGUCCUGUCCCAUCUCAUUCCUGAUUUAAAAAAGGAAAUAGUAUUUAUUCAUAUAAGAGCCGCAUAUUAAAUAUAAAAACUGAGCUAUGAUUCCAACGAGUCCAAUCCCACAGGGAUCCCGAAUCAAUUUCAGCCUCUAGUUAACAUAAAGAUAUUGUUGAUAGUUUCUAUUUUGCAUGGGACAUUCAUACAUACAUUUAAAUGUGGCAAUAUCCUUGCUAAAAAUUACAAAAAACUCUAUGUAUUGUUCGACAAAAAAAUCGUAAUGCCAGGUCCACAAACUAGCUUUUUCCAGAGCAUUGGACAUAAUUUCAUAGAUGCAAAGACCAUCCUAGAAAACAGACAGGGGUUACAAUUUCUCCCUAUACAUAUAACCCUCUGAUAUCACAUGACUGAAGUUCCAUACUUAGGUCCUGUGAUGACAACUGAGCAAAAGUUAACCAAACCAAAACCAAGGAUGUGUUUGAAAGCAUAAAAAGCCGGUUAGUGAACCUUGAGUUAAGAUUUCUUUUGUCAAACUUCUGUUUCUAAGAAUGAACGUUUGUGCUCAUCUGUGUGUAGUUAUUUUUGCCCGGAUGUAAAAAAAAAAAGAGUACAUGAACAAUACCAGUAGUAACCAGUAGUAUUUUCCAUUAACUAACAGCCUGAAAUAAUCUGAA